rnacentral:sRNA from 12 species
AAUCAACGCGAAGGAUUGUUUCAACCAUGUGUAUUCACAAUUCCAUGUGGUCAUGGACGUGUUCAAGGAGUUCCACUAUGGAGGAUACCCCAUAGGUAGGCUUUACCAGAUAGGUAGAAGAGAUGGAAAAUCUCAACCGAGCAGGCACGGUGCUGUGAUGAAACGCAAGAAAAUGGUAUUGCUAACUGGUCGCUAUCGCAAUAGAUAUGAGGUACGCACCUCAUUGAACCAAGUAGAGGAUAGUGUGGCAGCUAUGUCAAUCGCUUGGAGUGCCAUAAGAUAGUUGUCCAAUUGAUGCUGGUAAUCAGAUAUAAGACCAGACGCGAGUACGAGUAGCCCAAAGUUGGAAUAUAUUAGAAGAUUAAUAUGCUGAAUGGUGGGUGAAAGUUGUUGGUAGCCAAUCCAGCCAUAGAUUGACGUAAGUUGGGAUGGAAAGAUAUGGGGUCGCUCCCUGUGUCUCAGCUCCAUUUCCUAUGUGACCGAAUUACCACUACGUUUUAUGAAGGUACGAUGAAGAUCGGAGACAAUCUUUCGCGUUGG